UGGGAGAUGAGGAUGAGAUCCAUUCUUUGGACUCCUAACAAAGCUGCCUGGGGGAAGAAACUGUAUCUUCAAGGAGAAAGUAAAUCUGUGGGGUUUGAAAGGAAUGUGUUCCUGUCUUGUAGGUACAAAGAGGCACAUGGGUGGGCAGUGGUGUAGGGGCCUGGAAAUCUGAGAUUUACGUCCCUCUCUGACCAUCUAACACCACCCCCAAAGCAACUUAACUUGAAAAAGAGCUCAGGAGCCUGUUCUUGCUUCACCAGGGGUUGUUUGGAAGUUAAGGGAUUAUGGGGAAUGACAGGAAUAUUGGAAAACAGGAAGAAUUUUUCAGGGAGGGAGGAUUUCCCUCCCCUCCCCUCCCCUCUCCUCUCCUCUCCUUUCCUGUCUUCUCCUUCCCCUCCUCAUUCCUCUCUCUGUUAAGUUUUAUCUUCUCCCAAGACUGCUAGCUAUUCCUAAUCCCUCUUUCAAUAUUUCUUAGCCCUAUCUUUUGGAAUCUUUCUAUUUCUGGAUCUAAAAACUGUUUUGGAUCUUCACACUUUUAAUUUGGGGGUGUAGCAUUGGAUUUGUUUUCAGGGACCAUCCACAAGCACACAGGUGACCAAUUCAUCCCAGGUGGUCCAGAACUUUCUCAGGUUAGCACUGUAAAUCCCUUAUCCCAGUCCUGUUAUCCCCCUAACAAACUGAAAUGGUUGGUCACAUGAGUGGUUACUCUGGCCAUUAAGCCAGGCCCUGCUUUAGUAAAUCUUCACAUCUUCCAGGCAGAUGUCAAGAGAGCAAAAGAAAUCCAGUCCCCAGGGUCAUGCCAGGGUCACCAAAACUAAGGUUGGAAUGAACUAGGGUGACAGGGAUUGUGCUCAGAGUGCCUAGUCCUUGGUGGGAGAAGAAAGACCUUCAAGGAAGAUGGGGGUGGGGAGUAGCUUGAGAAGGGAGGCAAAGACAGCCCAGUUUCUGUCUGAAGGGCUUCGUGUUGACCCUGGAGCUCUGAGCCAAGAGCUUCUUUUUCCAAACACAGGCUUCUUCCGGUCCUGGUGUUCUAGGGCAGAAAGAGGUUCCCUAACUUCCUGUUACAUGUUCCCCAUCUCUCUCACCCACCUUGGUCAGAGAGCCCUUCCUCAACUCUGCUUUCAGUUUUUUUUUAAAUUGUUUUAGUUGUAAAUGAACACAAUACCUUUAUUUCAUUUAUUUAUGCGAUUCUGAGGAUUGAACCCAGUGCCUCA
rnacentral:lncRNA from 1 species